ensembl:lncRNA
CCACCUAUGAGCAGCGACCUAACAUUACAGCGGACUGGAAAAAGAGCCUCCUAGAUUUCUUCAAGGUAUACCCAGGAUCGGAGCUCUCUGCGAUCCAAAAGUAGCUCGCCACUUUCCUUCAGAAACCCCUUUCGCUUUCCUCCCUUCUUAGACUUGUAGGGAGUAGGUUGCGAGGUAAACGGUGGUGUCGAGGCCACGAGCAAGGACAGGCUCUCCGCAGCCUAACCUGCACCUCCGGGCCGAAACGCCUGGGGCUCUUCCUGCAGCAAGGGUGCGGCCAACCCUCGUUUCCCCAGGGCAGGGCUCAGCUCAGGUCGCUGCAACCAGGCAAGUCAGGCCCAGACCCGGCCGUCUCAGCCCGCCAGUCCGCAGCAGCCCCUGGACCCCCGCCAGCGGGGAUGGGCGUGGGCACCGGCGGCCACCGCCCCGACAACUCCCGCUCGAAUGCAUUGUGAGCCCCACCCGCUAGGCCAACCCCGGACCUACCUGCAGGGGAGAGCGGGGCUCCUGGUCAGCGGCCACGGGCCCGAGGACCGGCGCUUUGGAGACCAGAGCCAGUCCCGGAAGCUCCAAGUAUCCCGGGUGAAGCAGGGCGAGCGGAGACGCCCGGGGGCUGCCGCGGGCCGGCGCGACCCGAUGCAGGGGUCGCCGGGACCUGGCUCUCCCCUUACCACCAGGCCACCGCCGCCGCCGCCAUUUUGCCUUCCACUCCGUGUCGCCGCCGCCGCCGCACUCCGCUGCAGGUUUCCCGGAUGUGGGCAUUUCCCGGCGUCGCUUGCGCGGGGGCCGAGGACUGGGGGCUUCUGGCUGCCAGGCCGCGGAGAGCUACCGUGCAGCCUGCGACCUCUGUGCCGAGGCCUGUUCCCGCUGCUCCGAACAUGGGGAAGCGUCGUCCCACGUUGCUCCCACCUGCCGCUUCCCGCAUGACUCGCUCGCGUUGGUGGCAAGAAGCUGUCCGCCGCCCAGGUCUACUCCGCGCGUGCGAUCGUUCUCUUUUCCAUUGAGCUUUCUCUGGUCGGAGAGAACGGAUACGCGUCCAGUCUCAGGAAGAAGUGUAGUGAGCUAGCUCUGAAACCUCCCUGUGGACGUCAAGGCUCAAGACGUAUUUACUUAAAAUCUCAUUCCUGCGUAGCACUCUUUCCCCGAGUAUAUCUGUGAGCUUAGAGUACUGAAUAUGUAUUUUCUGAAUCAGCCAAAUAAUACAUUGUUGAAUCAGGACUAGCAGAGUUGAGAUCUGUCAGCCGAAUCCGUAGAGGAUUCGUUAUUGCCUUAAUUGGGAUUACGUUGACGGUUCGAGUCUCGUUAAAUUGAAUUUCUCAAAGUCUGGGUUGGUAUCAUUGGGAUUGUGAUGUUUAAUAGUUCUGUCAAAAAAUAAAUAAAAAUAAAAUAAAAGUGCUGUCCGCCUUUUGUAAAUAAAAGCACCUUUUAAAAUGUUGCCUCUAGAAAGUAUGUAGUCAUUAUUUUCAGAUAUCUUUUUGUCAUUUUUUUUUUCUACUAGAGAUUAUGAAAAUUAAAAAUGACUGCUUUUUUGGUGUGUGUAAUGGUGGUACUGAGGAUUUAGGGUACAAGAUAUAGUCUGCACACGGUAGGCAAGCACUCUAGCCCUAAACUACACCACCAGCCCUUUUAUUUUGAGACAGGGUUUCACUGAAUUGCCCAGGCUGGCCUGAACUUGCACCCCUCCUGCCUCAGCAUCCAACCCCUCUCCCAGACUAGUUUUUCUGGUGAUACAUUAAUUACUGGCUACAGUAGAGUUCAAAUGUGAAAACCUUUGUUAAAAGAUUACAUUUCAAGCCCUCAAGGGGCUGUCUAAAGGCACUCAGAAUGGUCCAGAGUUUGACAUACCAUCACAGGCUUUCCUACAAUGCAAGCUCUUAACAAAACUAGGCUAUGCCAAGGCCCUGGUAAUAGAAUUGUUUACCUUUAUACGAAGAAUAUCGAGAAAGUGUCAAAAUCUGCAUGUAGCAGACUGAGAAGUUCCAGCUGUGAGACCUAAAGUUCUUAUGAAAUUGUCUAAAAGGAACUAAUGUCAGCAGGGCCUAUGGUGGUUCAUGUGUGCCAAAUGUGUCCCUGACAGGACUAAAUGUGCUUUCCUUAUUGAGGAGCAGAAAAUCAUCAGGAAAGUGU